GCUGUUUAAAGCAAAACAAAAGAAGUAAGUGAAGCAGUCAACAAGUGUUUCUAAGUUUUUGUGUGUUUGUUUGUUAUUUUUAAAGGCAACCCCUAAACAUUUGUCUCUAGGCACUGUGGCUACAGUGAAGAUUUUUGUCUAUUCCAGGGGCCUAAACGCGUAAGGCUUGGUCUGUAAAUAUUUUUGGACAGUCCUAGCUGUGUUCUGAACAUGACAUUUUGCUGAAAGAGCACAAAAUGGUAGAUGCCACCAGGCAUUAAGAACGGAGCAUGGUUAGGGGAAAAGUUUUGCCAGACUGCAGCAUAAGGCAGGAGAGGAGGAACGCUGCUAGGAGCCCACAGGUCAAGCGUAGAGGCUACAGGUUUGCAGCAGGGAGCGCAAAUCUCAGAAGUGACAGAGACCCUCCCCAGGGAGCAGAAGAGACUAGACAGACCUGGCAGCAGCUUCUAGGAGUUACUACCUCCGAGGAUACAAUAGGUUCCCCAGGGAGACUUCUGUCCCAGUAAAUGUCUAAAACAGCUUGCAUCAGAGAAGACCUGCUUAACCGAAUCAGCAAAAAAGAAGCUCACUCUGAUCCCAGGUUGAACCCUUGUGUGGAAGACUUUCCCAGAGAGGAGAAUGUAAAGUGUGUUUUUUUUAUUAUCAUAUCAUCACCACCUUUGAAUUUGUACUGGAGAACAAAUUCUGUUGAAGACUUUACAACACAGGAAAAAAUUUGCUAAGUUUCACAUCCAAUAUCUUCUUCCUCUUCCUAUGAUACUACUGAAAUAAGCAAAAUAUGUUUUUAAUUUUUUUCUGAACAGUUAUUUUCAGAAAAAUAAAAGGCUUCUUCAUUUGGGUAGAGAUAAAUCAAGGAGCCCUCAGUAGAAACAGAAUUCUGUGCCUCUGUUUAGUGCUGUUUGUUUGCUUUUCUAUGAUCUUUGGUGACUUAUAAGAGAAUAGUAGAGAAAUAUCAGUGGGUGAGAAGUAUUGUGUAGUGUAACAGUGUCUAUUUAGUUACAAUUUUUAUAGUGCAUUUGGGUUUGCUACAUUAUGUAUAGUAAGUUCAAAUGUCUUUGCUUAUUAUAUCCAAAAUAUACUAUAUGGACUUAAGUGGAUAAAGCUUAGAAUCAUUGUAAAAGACUGAACUAUAGUUCCCAGUGCACAAAAUCCUUGCAAAGUUUGCUGGAAAAUCCAAUAGCAAUAUAGUGUAAACUGGGUAAUAUGUUCCACAGAAUCCUGUGAAAGCAGAAUCUCAGUUUAUAAUCCUAACGUCACCAUAAUAGUGCCUGUGGAGGAAUUUGGUUUACAAGAAGUGAGCAUUUUUGUGCAUUAGGCUUUAGAGAGGUUGCUAAAUCCUCAAUUUUGACCAUUUCUUGUAUAUUUAUAUGUCCCUUACAGUUUUCUAUCUCUGCUAAUCAACUGAGCUCUUGGUUAGUUACCAUUUCCAGCGGAUUAAUACAAAUCUUGAAAUUGUGCAAGGCUUCUUUUCUUUUUCUUAGUGCACAGGCUUCCUUUGUUGAUACCAGUUUUUGCCUAUUGCCUUCAAUGAAAUUGCUAAUGUCUUUAAAUAAGGAAUGAGGCCAGAAUUAGUGUGAACCUAAUGGGAUGGAAAUUGCAACACUGUAGUACAUGGUCCACACCAUUUAUAUUGUUCAAAUCAUAUAAUAACAGUUUGUUUCUUACUGCCACAAUGAUAGGAGUAAAGAAAGACCAGCAGAGUUUCCACCAGAUGCAGGGUCUGUAUCCCACCAUCUCUUGGAUGUUGUCAUAAAAUCUGUUAACACCUAAACAUGGAAGUUAGAAACAGUUUAGAAACUCACCAGAUAACUGAUUCAACUGAAAGUUGAAGGGGUUUGAGAGACUGUCCUAAAUGUGCCUGUACAGGCUCUGACAUAACUUUUCACCUAUAUGAACAGGAAAGAGCUACGCAAACUCAGUAGCACCAAGAAUCAUUUGCAUUGUUCUCAUCCGACCACAUCAUAAUUCAUUCUAGCUACCAGUAAAAUAUUCUCAUGCCAAGGUUGAGCAAGUCUGUAUAUCUGAAGGUCAGAUGCAAUAAAAUACCCUGGGUUAAUUUCAGCUUUAAGUCUUUUUAAUCUUGUCUAAUCUUGAGAAACUUAGAAUGGUAUUUUACAGAGCAAAUUAAAAAAAAUAAAUCCAUCCCUGCCUUAA